rnacentral:rRNA from 1 species
GAUCAUGGCUCAGGAUGAACGCUGGCGGCGCGCCUAACACAUGCAAGUCGAACGGUUAAAGCACCUCCGGGUGUGUAUAAAGUGGCGAACGGCUGAGUAACACGUGGGCAACCUGCCCCUCGCUCCGGGACAGCCUCGGGAAACUGGGAGUAAUACCGGAUACUCCGCCACCCCCGCAUGGGGGAGGCGGGAAAGCCCUUACGGCGAGGGAUGGGCCCGCGGCCUGUUAGCUUGUUGGUGGGGUAACGGCCUACCAAGGCGAUUAUGGGUAGCUGGGUUGAGAGACCGACCAGCCAGAUUGGGACUGAGACACGGCCCAAACUCCUACGGGAGGCAGCAGUGGGGAAUCUUGCACAAUGGGCGAAAGCCUGAUGCAGCGACGCCGCGUGCGGGAUGAAGGCCUUCGGGUUGUAAACCGCUUUCAGUGGGGACGAGGCCGCGAGGUGACGGUACCCACAGAAGAAGCCCCGGCUAACUACGUGCCAGCCGCCGC